rnacentral:rRNA from 1 species
UACGAAGGGACCUAGCGUAGUUCGGAAUUACUGGGCUUAAAGAGUUCGUAGGUGGUUGAAAAAGUUGGUGGUGAAAUCCCAGAGCUUAACUCUGGAACUGCCAUCAAAACUUUUCAGCUAGAGUAUGAUAGAGGAAAGUAGAAUUUCUAGUGUAGAGGUGAAAUUCGUAGAUAUUAGAAAGAAUACCAAUUGCGAAGGCAGCUUUCUGGAUCAUUACUGACACUGAGGAACGAAAGCAUGGGUAGCGAAGAGG